GUCCUUUAGAGAAUAAUUUAAGGUCUAACCUGCCCACUGAUAAAUUAAAUGGCCGCAGUAAUUUGACUGUGCAAAGGUAGCAUAAUCAUUAGUUUUUUAAUUAAAAGCUUGUAUGAAUGGUUGGACGAGAUAAAAUCUGUCUCUUAAUUAGGAUUAGAAAUUAAUUUUUAAGUUAAAAAGCUUAAAUGAUUAUAAAAGACGAGAAGACCCUAUAGAUUUUUAUUUAAUUAAUAUAUAAAAUAUAAAGAUUAGUUUAUUUUAUAUAAAAUUUUAAAUUUUAUUGGGGUAAUAUAAAGAUUAAAUUAAUUCUUUAAUAUUUUUACAUAAAUUAAUGGUUUUAUGAUCCAUGAUAAUGAUUAAAAGAUUAAGUUACCUUAGGGAUAACAGCGUAAUUUUUUUUGAGAGUUCUUAUCGAUAAAAAAGCUUGCGACCUCGAUGUUGGAUUAAAAUUUAUUUUAAAUGCAGAAGUUUAAAAUAUUAGUCUGUUCGACUAUUAAAUUUUU
rnacentral:rRNA from 2 species